UGCCAGAGGUCGCCAGGAUGGAGGUCCCUGUAAGGCCUCCUCGCUGUUGAUGAUCUCAGUGUGGUGGUAGAGGACGUGGUUAUUAGACGGGCGGAUAGAAGCAACAUUUCUCAGUGGAUGAGUGUUUCGUUUAAUGUUUAGUGGUGAUAAUAUUGAAGAUAGAUAAUUAUUUGUGUUUAGAGAAGAAGACAUAUGUUGUUGUGGUGUUUUUGUGACUUUGUUUAUACUGCUUUAGGUGGAAGAUUUUUAAUAAAACGUACAUUUAGCAUCUUGGACUACCAUACACUACUGUUAUCAUGAUUGUUUCGACAUAUGCAACUGGCAAUAAGUGGCCACAACGACUGCAAUAACCCUGCAAUAUCCUCCGGCAGUUGUACCUUUCUCCUCCUGCCACACCUUCAUCUCCUCCUUCUGUUCGUUCGUUCGUUCUCUCUGCAGCACCACCACUACUCGGCACACUUCGUUAUCGUCAUCUUCGUUACCCGUGUCUUCGUUAUCUGUGAGCUGCUACAGACGUUACUAUAAGCCUGAAGGGAGGUGUUUGUACCGGACCACAAACUCAUUGGUUCCUCAGUGUUAAUACAGUCAGUUGUUGGGUGAAAGACUGAAAUAGACUGACUUUAGUGGAUAGUUGAAGUAUUUUUGAUUUUGUAUUACUUUACGAGUGAUUGUCAGAAAGAAUUGGUUAACAUAUAAACAGUAACUGUUGAUGUGUGUUAAACUAAACGAAAUAUUGAAUAACUGUGAAGGUUGAGUGUGAGACGGUGAUGGACACAAGCCUACAGUCAGCCAGCGACCUGUACAGCAGAGAGCAGGUCAUGGCCUACCCUCUACCAGACUGACACCUUCAUCACUCAGCCUCCCUCACUAACCUGACAACAAUAUGGGACAACACUAAUAAAACAAAUGUUGUACUGAAGAAAAACUCAGUUGUGUUGUCAGUCUCAAGUCACCUCUAGUGUUGUUUAAACGUGUGUACUGUUAAGCCCUUGUGUUUAUGGCGGCUCCUGACUCACACUGCUCAAAUAUUAUUCAGACGUGAAUUACUAAACACGACGACAAACUUUAAAAACAAUUGCAAGACAGAAAUAACACCUUGCUUCACCAGACACACUCCCCACAAGUAAGAGAUCUGGCCCACCAGUUGUCCUUCGUCGUGAAGAUAAAGUCAAUUAUACAAUUCUUCCUGAGACUCGUGAAGCCUCCUUAACUUCUACCAAGAUGGGGGACUCCAGCCGGGCCAGCACGCCCUCCUCCUCCAACGCCAACACCAACACCCGGCCCACCACCCCCAGGGAGGAGAGACACCAGCUUAAGACGUUGAACAUUCCGGGCAGCAAGCCGUUGCCUUGUGCAAGUUUGGUCGUUAUCAACCCUAAAGGAAAGGUGAGCG